UACGUAGGGUGCGAGCGUUAAUCGGAAUUACUGGGCGUAAAGCGUGCGCAGGCGGUCUGUUAAGACCGAUGUGAAAUCCCCGGGCUUAACCUGGGAACUGCAUUGGUGACUGGCAGGCUUUGAGUGUGGCAGAGGGAGGUAGAAUCCACGUGUAGCAGUGAAAUGCGUAGAGAUGUGGAGGAAUACCGAUGGCGAAGGCAGCCUCCUGGGCCAACACUGACGCUCAUGCACGAAAGCGUGGGGAGCAAACAGG
rnacentral:rRNA from 1 species